rnacentral:rRNA from 1 species
AUUGAACGCUGGCGGUAUGCUUAACACAUGCAAGUCGAACGGUAGCAUGACUUAGCUUGCUAAGUUGAUGACGAGUGGCGAACGGGUGAGUAACGCGUAGGAAUAUGCCUUAAAGUGGGGGACAACUUGGGGAAACUCAAGCUAAUACCGCAUAAUUUCUUAGGAAAAAAGCUGGGGACCUUCGGGCCUGGCGCUUUAAGAUUAGCCUGCGUACGAUUAGCUAGUUGGUAGGGUAAAGGCCUACCAAGGCGACGAUCGUUAGCUGGUCUGAGAGGAUGACCAGCCACACUGGAACUGAGACACGGUCCAGACUCCUGCGGGAGGCAGCAGUGGGGAAUAUUGGACAAUGGGGGCAACCCUGAUCCAGCAAUACCGCGUGUGUGAAGAAGGCCUGAGGGUUGUAAAGCACUUUCAGUGGGGAGGAGGGUAUUUAGGUUAAGAGCUAGAAUACUGGACGUUACCCACAGAAGAAGCACCGGCUAACUCCGUGCCAGCCGCCGCGGUAA